GGACGGGUGAGUAAUGUCUGGGAAACUGCCUGAUGGAGGGGGGAUAACUACUGGAAACGGUAGCUAAUACCGCAUAACGUCGCAAGACCAAAGAGGGGGACCUUCGGGCCUCUUGCCAUCGGAUGUGCCCAGAUGGGAUUAGCUAGUAGGUGGGGUAACGGCUCACCUAGGCGACGAUCCCUAGCUGGUCUGAGAGGAUGACCAGCCACACUGGAACUGAGACACGGUCCAGACUCCUACGGGAGGCAGCAUG
rnacentral:rRNA from 1 species